rnacentral:misc_RNA from 1 species
AAGUCGUAACAAGGUUUCCGUAGGUGAACCUGCGGAAGGAUCAUUAACACGUAUCCAAACGUUAAAACCCUCCCCGUGAACCUUCAUCCUGCUCUUGUAACCCGCGUAGUUCGCAAUCUCUGAUAAAUCAUAGCCCGGAAAGUGGACCCUUUGGCAAAGCUCCUGCCCGAGUGUACGGUCUACAGGAAUCGUAGAAGCGCUAUCCUUGCACAAUCAAUGACACUUUCCGACACUGACUGCUUGGAGAAACAUUGCCUAUAGAACUACCGCUCGAUUGUAACUGUUCCAAUGUUCGCACGUAGCCAGAGGUCUCUGAAUCACUACAAUGCCCCCUAAUAACCCCACAGUUCAAUGUGAAGCUCAAUGUAAUACAUUGGGUAAAAAAACCGAACAACUGUUAACAAUGGAUAUCUUGGUUCUC